rnacentral:tRNA from 1 species
GGGGCCAUAGCUCAGUUGGGAGAGCAUCUGCUUUGCAAGCAGGAGGUCGGCGGUUCGAUGCCGCCUGGCUCCACCA